UAAUACAUGCAAGUCGAACGCUUCUUUCCUCCCGAGUGCUUGCACUCAACUGGAAAGGGGAGUGGCGGACGGGUGAGUAACACGUGGGUAACCUACCCAUCAGAGGGGGAUAACACUUGGAAACAGGUGCUAAUACCGCAUAACAGUUUAUGCCGCAUGGCAUAAGAGUGAAAGGCGCUUUCGGGUGUCGCUGAUGGAUGGACCCGCGGUGCAUUAGCCAGUUGGUGAGGUAACGGCUCACCAAGGCCACGAUGCAUAGCCGACCUGAGAGGGUGAUCGGCCACACUGGGACUGAGACACGGCCCAGACUCCUACGGGAGGCAGCAGUAGGGAAUCUUCGGCAAUGGACGAAAGUCUGACCGAGCAACGCCGCGUGAGUGAAGAAGGUUUUCGGAUCGUAAAACUCUGUUGUUAGAGAAGAACAAGGACGUUAGUAACUGAACGUCCCCUGACGGUAUCUAACCAGAAAGCCACGGCUAACUACGUGCCAGCAGCCGCGGUAAUACGUAGGUGGCAAGCGUUGUCCGGAUUUAUUGGGCGUAAAGCGAGCGCAGGCGGUUUCUUAAGUCUGAUGUGAAAGCCCCCGGCUCAACCGGGGAGGGUCAUUGGAAACUGGGAGACUUGAGUGCAGAAGAGGAGAGUGGAAUUCCAUGUGUAGCGGUGAAAUGCGUAGAUAUAUGGAGGAACACCAGUGGCGAAGGCGGCUCUCUGGUCUGUAACUGACGCUGAGGCUCGAAAGCGUGGGGAGC
rnacentral:rRNA from 1 species